GUGUGUGUGUGUGUGUGUGCCGACGGAAUACGACGCCGUUUCUACAAUAAUCACCAAAGCCGGCUGUGAAAACAAUCGGUACAUGCUCAGCUGGACCAAAACACCGUUCGUUGUGUAUCUUCAAGCGCACACCACAACGUUGCCAAAAACCACAAAAUAGCGGGGAAAGGAAAUUAUUAUAAAAUAACGUCAUAAAUGAAAGCAUUCUAAUCUUUCCCUGUUAUUUUUCCACUGCAAACAGGACAUUGUAUCACCGCAUCGACAAGUGUGGUUCAUUUAGAGCGUUUAAUCGUUGUGAUACAGCUUUCUAAAGAUUUACCCGAGCGGUAGAAGCAGCAACAAUAAAAGUGCCUGACGGAGAGACAACAACGCCAUCGGCAUCCGUUGAUACCAUCCAAAGUGAUGGUUGAAAUCGUAUUUAAACGUGCAAAACAAUAUAUUGGAGCAUGUAAGCAUUGAUUUUAGAUAAAUAAAGAUAUUUUAUCGUUGUAUUGGACAAUGUGCAUCGAAAUUAUAAAAAGA